rnacentral:rRNA from 1 species
GAAACGGCGGCUCUUACCGGAUGGGCCGAAAGGUACAAGGCUUGCUGCCUGAAGAUGAGCUCGCGUCUGAUUAGGUAGUUGGUGUGGUAAGAGCGCACCACGGCCACCAUCAGUAGCUGGUCUGAGAGGAUGAUCAGCCCCACUGGGACUGAGACACGGGCCAAACUCCUACGGGAGGCAACAGUGGGGAAUUUUCCGCAAUGGGCGAAAGCCUGACGGAACAAUACCGCGUGAGGGAGGAAGGCUCUUGGGUUGUAAACCUCUUUUCUCAAGGAAUAAUUUCGGAAGGGCCUUGAGGAAUAAAAACCGGCUAAUUCCGGGCCACCACCCCCGGUAUUCCGGAGAAAGAAACCCUUUUCCGGAAUAUUUGGGGCUAAAACGCCCCCCGGGGGCCCGUAAAGUUUGUUUUUUAAAAACAAA